GGCCGACAACUCUUCGUCAAAAGUGCUGAACUCACGGUCAACAAAGAGACCUGGCAGCAGAAGUUGGAGGAAAACAGAUUCAAGGAACUGGAUUACCAACAACAGUCCUUGGAGUAAGUAACAGGGUUACUCUCCACCAACAUUUCUCUUCAAGAAGAGCUGCACAAGGAGCAGGCCAACAACCACCAGUUGGUAGAAGAACACAAACUGCUAAAGAUCAAGACAGAGGCUCUGGAUGAGACUAUCAGGGAGAACGAGGGUUUAUCUCUGAAGCUCACCGAGACCAAAAAAAAACUUUCUGUCAUAAGUGCUGAUCUCAGGGUCAACAACGAGACCUGGCAGCAGUUGGAAGCAGAAAACAAACUGCUGAAGACCCAGAGGGAUUCUCUGGCUGCUUUAAAAAAGAGCCACCACCAUGAGGAGACCCACCACGAGAUGGUCACAAGCAGUGGUUUUGUGGUUUCACUGAGUUGUGUCUGAUCUCUAAGAUCCAACAAACGGAGGAUACCAUUCCCAAAGAACAUCAGAUCCUUAUCACCAGGAUCCAAGAAUUAGAGGAGGACAAAACAGUCCUUGAAAACAUCUGCCUCGACUUAAAGAAACGGACCGGCAGACGGAGAUGGACAAAAUGAGGCGCAAGAUGCAGGACAAGGAGACAAAGAAAUAGGAGAGAGAAGAAAAAGGAGAUAAUCCAGGACGUCAACAUCAACGUGCCUGAGACUAGACACCUGUAAGAACACCUUCCUUCACCUCCCACUCCAUCCUACCUCAUCCAUCUACCCUGAAAAAAAAGAAAUUCUGAAAAAAAAAAAAAAAAGACCGGCAGACGGAGAUGGACGAAAUGAGGCACAAGCUCCAGGACAAGGAGACAAAGACAUAGGAGAGAGAAGAGAAGAAAAAGGAGACUAUCCAGGACGUCAACAUCAACGUGCCUGAGACUAGACACCUGUAAGAACACCUUCCUUCACCUCCCACUCCAUCCUACCUCAUCCAUCUACCCUGAAAAAAAUAUUCUGAAAAAAAAAAAAAAAAGGACCGGCAGACGGAGAUGGACGAAAUGAGGCACAAGCUCCAGGACAAGGAGACAAAGACAUAGGAGAGAGAAGAGAAGAAAAAGGAGACUAUCCAGGACGUCAACAUCAACGUGCCUGAGACUAGACACCUGUAAGAACACCUUCCUUCACCUCCCACUCCAUCCUACCUCAUCCAUCUACCCUGAAAAAAAUUCUGAAAAAAAAAAAAAAAAAAAAGACCGGCAGACGGAGAUGGACGAAAUGAGGCACAAGCUCCAGGACAAGGAGACAAAGACAUAGGAGAGAGAAGAGAAGAAAAAGGAGACUAUCCAGGACGUCAACAUCAACGUGCCUGAGACUAGACAUCUUAAAUAUUGUGCCUGAGACUGGACACGUGGAAGAACACCUUCCUUCACCUCCCACUCCAUCCUACCUUAUCCAUCUCAAAUAACAAAUAAAGGAAAUGUUUACC
ensembl:lncRNA